rnacentral:rRNA from 1 species
ACGUAGGGAGCGAGCGUUGUUCGGAUUUACUGGGCGUAAAGGGCAUGUAGGCGGGUAUGCAAGUCGGUUGUGAAAUCCUCUGGCUCAACCAGAGAACUGCAGCCGAAACUGCACACCUUGAGUCCAGCAGAGGGAAUCGGAAUCCUAGGUGUAGCGGUGAAAUGCGUAGAUAUCUGGGAGAACAUCAGUGGCGAAGGCGGAUUCCUGGGCUGGUACUGACGCUGAGGUGCGAAAGCUAAGGGAGCGAACAGG